UUGGAAUAUGUAGAGAUGUUUAUUUGUGCAGGUACCCAUACAGAAGGGGUUCUGUACCAAACAAAUGGACGAGCACUCUCAGGCUCCAGGUACCAGCACCUCUGAACUACCAGAAACGAUUGAUAUGAGUAGUUGCAUUGCAUAUAGACUGUUGCAUAUAUGUUCAAAUGGUUCAGGGCACAUGACAAACCAUGUGGCCCAAUACAACUUACAAAUAACGUACUCACCAUCUGUACACACCAAUGCAUUUUCAACACUACUGACUCAUCACCCUUCCAGACUUGUAGUAGAUUUACUAAAGCUCUGGAGCUUCAAAG
rnacentral:lncRNA from 1 species